UACGUAGGGCGCGAGCGUUGUCCGGAAUUAUUGGGCGUAAAGAGCUCGUAGGCGGUUUGUCGCGUCUGCCGUGAAAGUCCGGGGCUCAACUCCGGAUCUGCGGUGGGUACGGGCAGACUAGAGUGAUGUAGGGGAGACUGGAAUUCCUGGUGUAGCGGUGAAAUGCGCAGAUAUCAGGAGGAACACCGAUGGCGAAGGCAGGUCUCUGGGCAUUAACUGACGCUGAGGAGCGAAAGCAUGGGGAGCGAACAGG
rnacentral:rRNA from 1 species